UGUUAUGAACAAAUCUCCACAAAUUCUAGCGCCAAGAGCAACAAAAUGAGAAUAAAGAAGGAAGAAGAAACGUGAAAAAGGGGGCUAGUCAGAAUGCAGAACAACAAUGCGGGCAUCCUCCCCUCCCAGCAAAACCAGAGGGCAGUGGAACUUUACAGCACCUCGAAGGCCUACUGUGAUGGAGAAAGGUCCAGCAAUAUAGUCCUAAAGGAUAUUCUCAUCAUGGAGAAAGCUCUGGAGCACUGCUGAGUGAACUUCCUGUAGGUCGGAUCAUAACUUUGCAAACUCAGUCCUUGAGAUCUGGGACUUGGAGGGACAUCAGCUACGUCAACCCUACUGUGUCUCUGAGACCCUUCCACGUGGGCUGCUUCAUGAGGAGCCUACACACCAAAAGCAAGAAAUCCAACAAGAUGUUAAUAGCAGUUACCUCCGGAGCAUGGGUUAAUGGUAACUUUAUUUCCUUCUUUAUACAUUUCUGUAUUUUACAAGUUGUACAGUAAGUCCCAUACAUGGGAACCUUCUAGUUGCGAACUUUCAAAGAUGCGAACGUGCAUUCCAUCAACGUCAGGUGUGAGUGAAAUUGCAGCUUGCCCUCCAUCCCCUAUUGCUGACGAUCCUUCAGCCCUACCACCUCCUACCUCCUUUCCCUCCUCCCAUCAGUAACUCUCCUUGCCUGUUCACUGAUGCCAGCCCCUGUAUGCCAGCUGUUGUACUGUACUAAUGUACUUUUCAAAGUACUGUACUGUAAGAUUAAAAACGUUUUCUUUA